GCCAGUGUGGCUCAGUGGGUAGAGCGUCGGCCUUCGAACUGAAGGGUCCCGGGUUCGAUUCCCAGUCAAGGGCA
rnacentral:tRNA from 1 species